rnacentral:rRNA from 1 species
GCAGUAGCCGCGGUAAUACGAGGGGGGCAAGCGUUGUUCGGAAUUAUUGGGCGUAAAGGGUGCGUAGGCGGUUUGAUAAGUUUCAUGUGAAAUCUUCGGGCUCAACCCGAAGCCUGCAUGGAAAACUGUCGGGCUUGAGUAUGGGAGAGGUGAGUGGAAUUUCCGGUGUAGCGGUGAAAUGCGUUGAGAUCGAAAAGAACACCAACGACAAAAGCACUCUGCUGGGUCGACACUGACACUGAGAGACGAAAGCUAGGGGAGCAAAUGGGAUUAGAUACCCCAGUAGUCCCUGUCUCUUAUAC